GAUCAUGGCUCAGGAUGAACGCUAGCUACAGGCUUAACACAUGCAAGUCGGAGGGGCAGCAUGUUGGUUGCUUGCAACCAACGAUGGCGACCGGCGCACGGGUGAGUAACGCGUAUCCAACCUUCCGGCAUACUCGGGAAUAGCCUUUCGAAAGAAAGAUUAAUGCCCGAUGGUUUCCCGAAUCCGCAUGAGAGCGGGAAUAAAGAUUCAUCGGUAUGCGAUGGGGAUGCGU
rnacentral:rRNA from 1 species